rnacentral:rRNA from 1 species
AUGCUGGAGCCCAGGAGCCAGACGCCACCGCCGACGACGACUCCUACUACACCGGGGGUGCCUACUACUACGUGCAGCCUGCUGACGACGACCAGGAGUAGUUUAGGAGGAUCCCAGGCAGGAGGCCUGCGCCUCUUUCGAUCUGUAUCCCAGUUUGUGCUAGCCUUCUUAAGGCAAACUUGUUUAACUUAUGGUUGUACUCAGAUAUUGUUGCUUCCGCUGACUCGUCUAUGA